CCUACGGUGGGCUGCAGUGAGGAAUAUUGGUCAAUGGGCGCGAGCCUGAACCAGCCAAGUAGCGUGAAGGAUGACUGCCCUACGGGUUGUAAACUUCGUUUAUAAAGGAAUAAAGUGAGGCACGUGUGCCUUUUUGUAUGUACUUUAUGAAUAAGGAUCGGCUAACUCCGUGCCAGCAGCCGCGGUAAUACGGAGGAUCCGAGCGUGAUCCGGAUUUAUUGGGUUUAAAGGGAGCGUAGGUGGGUUUGUAAGUCAGUUGUGAAAGUUUGCGGCUCAACCGUAAAAUUGCAAUGGAUACUGGCAGACUUGAGUACAGUAGAGGUAGGCGGAAUUCGUGGUGUAGCGGUGAAAUGCUUAGAUAUCACGAAGAACUCAGAUUGCGAAGGCAGCCUACUAAACUGCCACUGACAUUGAUGCUCGAAAGUGUGGGUAGCAAACAGGAUUAGAUACCCGUGUAGUC
rnacentral:rRNA from 1 species